GAUCAUGGCUCAGGACGAACGCUGGCGGCGUGCCUAAUACAUGCAAGUAGAACGCUGAAGGAGGAGCUUGCUUCUCUGGAUGAGUUGCGAACGGGUGAGUAACGCGUAGGUAACCUGCCUGGUAGCGGGGGGAUAACUAUUGGAAACGAUAGCUAAUACCGCAUAAUAGCAGUUGUUGCAUGACAACUGUUUGAAAGGUGCAAAUGCAUCACUACCAGAUGG
rnacentral:rRNA from 1 species